GGAGCCAGUGUCAGUGUGAGAACCAGAGCAGCAGUCAGUGGGACUCAGUCUGUGCUUUAACUCAGUGCUCCUCCUUCUCUCCUGCAGUCAUGAAGCUCCUACAGGCCCUGCUGCUGCUCACAGCACUCACUCUCUCAGGUGUUCAGGGUGAGAUUGUCCUGACAGAGUCUGAAGCAGUGGUAAAGAGACCAGGAGACUCUCACAAACUGACCUGUACAGCCUCUGGGUUCACAUUCAGCAGCUACUGGAUGGCCUGGAUCAGACAGGCUCCUGGGAAAGGACUGGAGUGGGUGACCAGCAUCAGUAGUCCUAGUGGCAGCAGCACAUACUAUGUCACGUCUGUUAAGGGAAGAUUCACCAUCUCCAGAGACAACAGCAAGAACCAGCUGUAUUUACAGAUGAACAGCCUGACAGCUGAAGACACUGCUGUGUAUUACUGUACCAGACACCCACACAACUACUGGAUGGGCUGGAUCAGACAGGCUCCUAGGAAGGGACUGGAGUGGGUGGCCCACAUUAAUAGUGCUGGUGGCAGCACAUGCUUCCAGCGGGGGCCGCCUGCUACACCUGUUGUCCAGUGGGGGCCGCCUUCCUCGCCCCCUAGUGUUCUCUCGCCCCUUAGUGUUCCCACUCCCCCUAGUGCUCCUGAGCCGUCGCGGUCCCGGCCCAGGGCCCAGAGACCCCAGCCAUCCAGCAGCCCUGGAGCCUUUCCGCAGCCACGCCUGGGAGGGCGUUCCCCCCCUGGGGAUGGGGCCAGUCCUUUCCCCUAA